rnacentral:rRNA from 1 species
UACGUAGGGUGCAAGCGUUAAUCGGAAUUACUGGGCGUAAAGCGUGCGCAGGCGGUUUUGUAAGUCUGUCGUGAAAUCCCCGGGCUCAACCUGGGAAUGGCGAUGGAGACUGCAAGGCUAGAGUUUGGCAGAGGAGGGUAGAAUUCCACGUGUAGCAGUGAAAUGCGUAGAUAUGUGGAGGAACACCGAUGGCGAAGGCAGCCCCCCUGGGUCAAAACUGACGCUCAUGCACGAAAGCGUGGGGAGCAAACAGG